UGGCUGAGUUAAUUUAGGAUGGCUAGCCUCA
rnacentral:piRNA from 1 species